rnacentral:lncRNA from 1 species
CUUUAACAGUAUAGUAACUGUGAUAGUAAAGUAACUUCAACAGUACAGUAACUGUGAUAGUAAAGUAACUUUAACAGUAUAGUAACUGUGAUAAAGUAACUUUAACAGUAUAGUAACUGAGGAGUAACUGUCCAGAAUGAAGAUAAUCCAUGUUGUCUACUGCUGUCUCCUCUCAUAUAAGUUCUGUCUGUCUGUCUGUUUGUCUGUCUCAGUUUCUAUACUAAUGUCUGGAUCAUAUAGUACAUAAUGAAUUAGGUAAUUAUUUGUAAUUAUUUGUCUGUAAGUAACAUGUGUGCAGAUUUGAGCAGGGUGAAAGUAAGAUUUGAGCAGGGUUAAAGUAAGAUUUGAGCAGGGUCAAAAUAAUAUUCAUGCAGCGUUAAAGUUUGAUUCAUGCAGGGUUCAAGUAAAAUUUGAGCAGGGUUUCAAGUAAAAUUUGAGCAGGGUUCAAGUCAAAUUUGAGCAAGAUUAAAGUAAGAUGUUCAGGGUUAAAGUAAGAUUUAUGCAGGGUUAAAGUUCGAUUUGAGCAGGGUUCAAGUUCGAUUUGAGCAGGGUUAAAGUAUAUCUCACAGGUCAACAGUUGUGACUGUACUGUGUGUUUCUGUUUGACAGCUCUGUGUGUUGUGGAGUCAGCUGUCACUAAUGUGGAGGAGGUGGUGGGAGGACAAGUCACUGUGGGCUGCACAUUCACAUUGGCAGGAAACAACAACAAAUACUUCUGCAAGGGGACAUGUUCUGGUGAAGACAUUCUGGUUGAAACUAAUGGGAGUAAGAAUGUAACUCAAGAUAUAUACAGUAUAGAAGACAAGGGAGGUUUAUUCUAUGUGACCAUCAAGGACCUGAGGAAGUCAGACUCUGGAACCUACUGGUGUGGAGUGGACAGAUCUAUAAAGGACACAUUCCAAGAGGUGCAUCUCACAGUUACAGAUGCUCCUCCUGAAACAUCAACAUUCAACUCCAGACCCAAUGUCUCCACAACCCUACUAAACCUCUCUACAACAUUUAUGGCAUCUG